AGCGCUAUAUUUCUCUAUAAACGAUGGUGUCUGUACUGCCUUACCACUUCAAGCUCGAUCCAGAGAGUUCAGACGGCCAUUACGAUAUAACCGUCUCCGUCAAUGAACGCGAUUAGAUUUAACUUUUUUAGGUGUCCUUAGCUCUGCCGGAAUGCUAAACGAAGACGAAAAUGGGUUGCAUAGACAUCCAAAAGGUUUUAAGGAGAAUGUAACAGGUUCCAGGGCCUCUUAACUGCGUGAUUCAUCAUCCAGAUAUGCUUGGAGCUUCCUGAUCAGAUCGGUCACAAUUUUGGCUUUCGACGACCCCUGCACUGAAGAUGGCAUGCAAUCACGUCCUCCUUUGAAGGUCUCUCAAACUGUGAUGCCAGG